rnacentral:rRNA from 1 species
AUUGAACGCUGGCGGCAGGCUUAACACAUGCAAGUCGAGCGGGGGAAGGUAGCUUGCUACCGGACCUAGCGGCGGACGGGUGAGUAAUGCUUAGGAAUCUGCCUAUUAGUGGGGGACAACAUCUCGAAAGGGAUGCUAAUACCGCAUACGUCCUACGGGAGAAAGCCGGGGAUCUUCGGAACUUGCGCUAAUAGAUGAGCCUAAGUCGGAUUAGCUAGUUGGUGGGGUAAAGGCCUACCAAGGCGACGAUCUGUAGCGGGUCUGAGAGGAUGAUCCGCCACACUGGGACUGAGACACGGCCCAGACUCCUACGGGAGGCAGCAGUGGGGAAUAUUGGACUAUGGGGGGAACCCUGAUCCAGCCAUGCCGCGUGUGUGAAGAAGGCCUUAUGGUUGUAAAGCACUUUAAGCGAGGAGGAGGCUACUCUAGUUAAUACCUAGGGAUAGUGGACGUUACUCGCAGAAUAAGCACCGGCUAACUCUGUGCCAGCCGCCGCGGUAA